UACGUAGGGCGCAAGCGUUGUCCGGAAUUAUUGGGCGUAAAGAGCUCGUAGGCGGUUUGUCGCGUCUGCUGUGAAAUCCCGAGGCUCAACCUCGGGCUUGCAGUGGGUACGGGGCAGACUAGAGUGCGGUAGGGGGAGACUGGAAUUCCUGGUGUAGCGGUGGAAUGCGCAGAUAUCAGGAGGGAACACCCGAUGGCGAAGGCAGGUCUC
rnacentral:rRNA from 1 species